rnacentral:rRNA from 1 species
GUGCCAGCCGCCGCGGUAAUACGGAGGUUGCAAGCGUUGUUCGGAAUGACUGGGCGUAAAGGGAGCGCAGGCGGCCAGGUCAGUCUGAAGUGAAAGCCCGGGGCUUAACCCCGGAAUUGCUUUGGAUACUGCCUGGCUUGAGUAUGCGAUAGGAAAGCGGAAUUCCAGGUGUAGCGGUGAAAUGCGUAGAUAUCUGGAGGAACACCGGUGGCGAAAGCGGCUUUCUGGCGCAUAACUGACGCUGAGGCUCGAAAGCGUGGGGAGCGAACGGGAUUAGAUACCCCGGUAGUCCACGCCGUAAACGUUGUGCACUAGGUGUGGGAGGUAUCGACCCCUUCCGUGCCGAAGCUAACGCAUUAAGUGCACCGCCUGGGGAGUACGGUCGCAAGACUGAAACUCAAAUGAAUUGACGG